AGAGUUUGAUCCUGGCUCAGAUUGAACGCUGGCGGUAUGCUUAAGACAUGCAAGUCGUGCGGUAGAAGGCUUCGGCCUUUGAGAGCGGCGGACGGGUGAGUAACACGUGGGAAUCUGCCUAUUAGUGGGGGACAGCCCAGCGAAAGCUGGAUUAAUACCGCAUACGCCCUACGGGGGAAAGCAGCAAUGCGCUAAUAGAUGAGCCCGCGUAAGAUUAGCUAGUUGGUAAGGUAAAGGCUUACCAAGGCGACGAUCUUUAGCUGGUCUGAGAGGAUGGCCAGCCACAUCGGGACUGAGACACGGCCCGGACUCCUACGGGAGGCAGCAGUCGGGAAUAUUGGACAAUGGGCGCAAGCCUGAUCCAGCAAUACCGCGUGUGUGAAGAAGGCCUGCGGGUUGUAAAGCACUUUCAGUUGGGAAGAUAAUGACGUUACCAACAGAAGAAGCACCGGCUAACUCCGUGCCAGCAGCCGCGGUAAUACGGAGGGUGCAAGCGUUAAUCGGAAUUACUGGGCGUAAAGCGUGCGUAGGCGGCCUGUUAAGUCAGAUGUGAAAGCCCCGGGCUUAACCUGGGAACUGCAUCUGAUACUGGGGGGCUAGAAUGUGGGAGAGGAGAGUGGAAUUUCCGGUGUAGCGGCGAAAUGCAUAGAGAUCGGAAGGAACACCAGUGGCGAAGGCGGCUCUCUGGACCAACAUUGACGCUGAGGCACGAAAGCGUGGGUAGCAAACAGGAUUAGAUACCCUGGUAGUCCACGCCGUAAACGAUGUCAACUAGCCGCCGGCCUCACUCUAGAGGUCGGUGGUGCAGCUAACGCUUUAAGUUGACCGCCUGGGGAGUACGGCCGCAAGGUUGAAACUCAAAGGAAUUGACGGGGGCCCGCACAAGCGGUGGAGCAUGUGGUUUAAUUCGAAGAUACGCGAAGAACCUUACCUGGCCUUGACAUUGAUAGAAUCUGCUAGAGAUAGCGGAGUGCCCUUCGGGGAGCUUGAAAACAGGUGCUGCACGGCUGUCGUCAGCUCGUGUCGUGAGAUGUUGGGUUAAGUCCCGCAACGAGCGCAACCCUCGUCACUAGUUACUAACGGUUCGGCCGAGGACUCUAGUGAGACUGCCUUCGUAAGGAGGAGGAAGGUGAGGACGACGUCAAGUCAUCAUGGCCCUUACGGCCAGGGCGACACACGUGCUACAAUGGGAUGUACAAUGAGACGCAAUACCGCGAGGUGGAGCAAAUCUAUAAAGCAUCUCUCAGUUCGGAUUGUAGUCUGCAACUCGACUACAUGAAGCUGGAAUCACUAGUAAUCGUAGAUCAGCCAUGCUACGGUGAAUACGUUCCCGGGCCUUGUACACACCGCCCGUCACACCAUGGGAGUUUGUUGCACCAGAAGCAGGUAGUCUAACCGAAAGGAGGGCGCUUGCCACGGUGUGGCCGAUGACUGGGGUGAAGUCGUAACAAGGUAACC
rnacentral:rRNA from 1 species